rnacentral:rRNA from 1 species
GAUGAACGCUGGCGGCGUGCCUAAUACAUGCAAGUCGAGCGAACGGACGAGAAGCUUGCUUUUCUGAUGUUAGCGGCGGACGGGUGAGUAACACGUGGAUAACCUACCUAUAAGACUGGGAUAACUUCGGGAAACCGUAGCUAAUACCGGAUCAUAUUUUGAACCGCAUGGUUCAAAAGUGAAAGACGGUCUUGCUGUCACUUAUAGAUGGAUCCGCGCUGCAUUAGCUAGUUGGUAAGGUAACGGCUUACCAAGGCAACGAUGCAUAGCCGACCUGAGAGGGUGAUCGGCCACACUGGAACUGAGACACGGUCCAGACUCCUACGGGAGGCAGCAGUAGGGAAUCUUCCGCAAUGGGCGAAAGCCUGACGGAGCAACGCCGCGUGAGUGAUGAAGGUCUUCGGAUCGUAAAACUCUGUUAUUAGGGAAGAACAUAUGUGUAAGUAACUGUGCACAUCUUGACGGUACCUAAUCAGAAAGCCACGGCUAACUACGUG